AACUGAGGUCAGUCAUGUAUGUCACCUACUUACCACACAAGUGAUUGUGAAGAAAUGGAGUGGUUUGUGAGAGGAAAGGAUCAUUCAAUUAUAAAGCAAGAAUUAUGCAGAGGAGAGUGAAGACACAUGAACACAUGCUGUGAGCAGAUAUUUAAGUGGCUUCCUAGCGUAAUAAAGCUCACCGUCCUGCAAGAAAAGUCCAUGAUAAUUCAUCGUACAUCCUAACACACUUCAGCCACAGAUUAAAAGCCAUCAUGCCAGUCACUCUGACUCCAGACAGAGAGCGAAGAAAUCCUCCGUGGUCCCCAUGGGUUCACAGAAGUCUGUCCAUCACGCUGUCAGCCUUUCGGAUCAUUAUUCAAGUCGCUAUCCCAAAUUUUGCUAGAUACAUCAGAUUUGCGCCUGCUACAUAGAUCUUUAUGGGCAGAGAAAAAUAAGUCUACAUGGUUCCAAGUUGAUGGAGAAGUUUAGCAAUUACCUAAGCAUUUGAUCGAUGAAGACCAACAACCUGGAAAAUGUAAAUAUUUUCCAAAAUGAAAUCAACGAAACCAGG